UAUUGGACAGUGGGGGAAACCCUGAUCCAGCAAUGCCGCGUGAAUGAUGAAGGCCCCCCCCCUCGUAAAGUUCUUUCACCUGUGAAGAUAAUGACGGUAGCAGGAGAAGAAGCCCCGGCUAACUCCGUGCCAGCAGCCGCGGUAAGACGGAAGGGGCUAGCGUUGUUCGGAAUGACUGGGCGUAAAGGGCGCGUAGGCGGUUUUUUAAGUGAGGCGUGAAAGCCCUGGGCUUAACCCAGGAGGUGCGUUUCAUACUGGAAAGCUUGAGUACGAGAGAGGAAAGUGGAAUUCCUAGUGUAGAGGUGAAAUUCGUAGAUAUUAGGAAGAACACCAGAGGCGAAGGCGGCUUCGGCUCGUAACUGACGCUGAGGCGCGAAA
rnacentral:rRNA from 1 species